AAAGCGGUGUAUGUGUUGCUGAGGGCCAUGGGUUUGUGGUGGCCUUGACAGCGCUGGGUUAAGAGUUCGACUUGUUGAUUUUAAUGGUCUUUCCCAACCCAAAUGAUUCUCUGAUUUCAUGUAUCUAUCAAUAGGUCAUGGGUGAAGAGAAGCAUUUCCAAACAAGCCAAAGUUGUCUGCAGACAAGGAGGCUUCCCAGCAUGCUGUGGCUCUGGGGGCAUGCAUAUUUUAGAACAAGAAAGAAAGCAAAACCCCAGUCCCAACCAUGCCAAGCAGGCACUCAGUGAACACUGAGAGACAAGAGGAUGACACAGGGAGGACACAGUGUUCUUGGGAAGAUUGACACAGCUGGAAUGGUCACCUUGAUAAGCAGCAGUCCCAAUACUUUAUUGGGGUUAAAUCGUUUGGGAUUAAACUGCUUUUAAAAAUGGAAAAGAAGUGACCUUCCUCUUUCUCAUUCACCACCCACAGUUUACUCACCUGGCUGACCCUGGGCCAGGAAAAGGAGUGGAUUUGAAUAAAUCAAGCAAAGUUCUGAAACAA